rnacentral:rRNA from 1 species
CUGCCUGAUGGAGGGGGAUAACUACUGGAAACGGUAGCUAAUACCGCAUAACGUCGCAAGACCAAAGAGGGGGACCUUCGGGCCUCUUGCCAUCAGAUGUGCCCAGAUGGGAUUAGCUAGUAGGUGGGGUAAUGGCUCACCUAGGCGACGAUCCCUAGCUGGUCUGAGAGGAUGACCAGCCACACUGGAACUGAGACACGGUCCAGACUCCUACGGGAGGCAGCAGUGGGGAAUAUUGCACAAUGGGCGCAAGCCUGAUGCAGCCAUGCCGCGUGUGUGAAGAAGGCCUUCGGGUUGUAAAGCACUUUCAGCGAGGAGGAAGGUGGUGAGCUUAAUACGUUCAUCAAUUGACGUUACUCGCAGAAGAAGCACCGGCUAACUCCGUGCCAGCAGCCGCGGUAAUACGGAGGGUGCAAGCGUUAAUCGGAAUUACUGGGCGUAAAGCGCACGCAGGCGGUUUGUUAAGUCAGAUGUGAAAUCCCCGGGCUCAACCUGGGAACUGCAUUUGAAACUGGCAAGCUAGAGUCUCGUAGAGGGGGGUAGAAUUCCAGGUGUAGCGGUGAAAUGCGUAGAGAACUGGAGGAAUACCGGUGGGGAAGGCGGCCCCCUGGAGGAAAACUGAAGCUCAGGAGCGAAAGCGUGGGGAGCAAACAGGACUAGAAACCCUGUAAAGCCCCGCUGUAAACCAGGUCGAGAAGGCGGCUGCGUCCAUGAAGACUGACUUUCGGGUGUGAAAGCGUGAAGAGCAAACAGGAGUAGAUACCCUGGUAGUCCACGCUGUAAACGAUGUCGAUUUGGAGGUUGUGCCCUUGAGGCGUGGCUUCCGGAGCUAACGCGUUAAAUCGACCGCCUGGGGAGUACGGCCGCAAGGUUAAAACUCAAAUGAAUUGACGGGGGCCCGCACAAGCGGUGGAGCAUGUGGUUUAAUUCGAUGCAACGCGAAGAACCUUACCUACUCUUGACAUCCAGAGAACUUUCCAGAGAUGGAUUGGUGCCUUCGGGAACUCUGAGACAGGUGCUGCAUGGCUGUCGUCAGCUCGUGUUGUGAAAUGUUGGGUUAAGUCCCGCAACGAGCGCAACCCUUAUCCUUUGUUGCCAGCGGUUCGGCCGGGAACUCAAAGGAGACUGCCAGUGAUAAACUGGAGGAAGGUGGGGAUGACGUCAAGUCAUCAUGGCCCUUACGAGUAGGGCUACACACGUGCUACAAUGGCAUAUACAAAGAGAAGCGACCUCGCGAGAGCAAGCGGACCUCAUAAAGUAUGUCGUAGUCCGGAUUGGAGUCUGCAACUCGACUCCAUGAAGUCGGAAUCGCUAGUAAUCGUAGAUCAGAAUGCUACGGUGAAUACGUUCCCGGGCCUUGUACACACCGCCCGUCACACCAUGGGAGUGGGUUGCAAAAGAAGUAGGUAGCUUAACC